AUGGGUCCAGCUGAGCCAUCCCUGCUGGGAAAACGUGGCCACAGGGUUGUGCUGUACCCACCCUUCUCCGGCAAGACAGCCCUCGGCCUGUGCCACUGCUUCCAGCCUCGCCACUGCAUGGCAGCUUUUGGUCUGUUUCCAGCUCUGCCCUCUGCCCUGAAUUCUCAUCCAGCUUGUACCUGCCUGCUUGAGCCCUCCACCUGGAGGCCAGCCAUGUCUCAGACUCAGCCCUACCCUCCUGUCCUCAAAUUCAGAGUGUUUCCUGUUUAGGUUUCCCUGGCUUUGUGAAUGGAUCAUGCGUCUCUAGGUACAAACCUGCCAUCAUCUUUCUGCCUGCCUCACCUCCACCGGAUCUCCCCAGUUCUGUCUCCAUCUUCCACCUGCAACUGCUCUGUUCUCAUGGUCACUGCCGCAUCACUCGAGUCCAGACCCUUGUUACCAUUUUCAAACCGGCCUCCUUCCCUUGUUCCCCCAUUCUUAAAGCCACUGCCACCAGAUUAAGCUUUCUCCAGCCAAAUCACCUCUCUUUGAGAAACCUCCAUUGAAACGGAAACGCCAUUGCCUGGCACACAUACUCACAUACUCACCUUCCCGUCUUGAUCCCCAUGCAUCUUUCCAGCCUCCCCUCCCACUCUACUCCCUCCUGCCCCUCCCCUCCCCUCCCCUCUGAAUCCAACCCAGCGGGCUUCUUCUGCCUCCAUCAUAUCACAGAAGUACCUCCUGCUUCUGGUUUCAAUUAGAGCCUUCCCUGAUUACAUUUUCCUCUGAAUUUUUUCCUAUCUACAUUUGAUCUGUCAUGUUUAAACCCCCUACUUCUAAGGGACCUUCUCUAAUCUCAUUCUCAUCCCCAAAUAGUGUUUUCUUCCUCUGGGUUCUUGUAAUGUUGGUAUCAAUCUCAGCAUUUAGUGCUUCCUGCCUGGUGUGACAGUUACCUGUGUGCAUGUGCAAUUUCUAAUUUCCCACGCUAGACUGUGAGCUUCCUAAGGCAAGAAUCAUGCCUUGUUGGUUUCUGUAUUCCUCAUGGCGCCAAACACAGUGCCUUGUACAUUGCAGGCGCUAAAUAAACAUUUUUAAAGCAAA